rnacentral:lncRNA from 1 species
UAUGUGUCCUCUCAAGUGCGCGCUUCUCUGUUUUCAUUCUCUCUCUGUGGGCCAUGAUCGCUGCUUAGAGAUCGGGAGAGCUAAGCGAACCCAGUACGGCGCUGCCUUUUUCCCUUCCUUCAAGAACCACUACUACUACCCAGUACGAGUGAGUCGGAGACAGAGCGCUCACAUAUGCCCACGUCCUCUCGGUACUACGCUGGCGACUGCUCCUCCACAUCGAGCUUCCAUUUUGCGGUUUCUUCCACCUUUUUCUGUGGGGCCUUGUCUACUAUUUCAAGAAAUCGAGAGGAGCCCUGCAGGACUGCACAAUUGUUCAUCACCGUGAACAUGCUGUUCGGGACGGCCUAGGACCAUAUAUCUCAGGUGGAGAGCGUUACUACA